UUAACGUGCUCCAGAGCGCACAGUUGAAUGGAAGAGCUGGGAUCUGAGUAGCCUGUACUACACACCUAGGCAGAAUCAAGAUCACAGAGGCCUUGUGAGCUAUGCCAAAGGGGUCAGGCCUUACUUACUCAAGGUAGGCAUUACCCCACUUUAAAGAUGAGAAAAUUACAGCUCCAAGACAUGAAGAGACUCCCCCAAAUGACACAACUAAAAAGUGGCAGCACUGGGAUUAGAGUCCAAUGCUGACUCCAGAGCCCACAUGUCCUUCCUCCACCACCCUCAGCUGCUCCUUCCUGAACCCCAAGUUUCCUCAUCUACAAAAUAAAGGCGUUGAGUCCCGUGAUCUCUCAUACUCCUCACAGCUCUUACUGCAUGGCUGUGUGGUGGGGCAGAAGGGGAACCAGGAAGGGGUCUCAGGCUCCAGGGCAGCACAUCGCUCUCUCUUAAGUGGGAAGCCACUGGGACUCUGUGUCCCACCUGUACUGUCUCAGCUCCCUGACUGAUGAAAGGAGGCUGGUGCUGCUGACAGCACCAUAAAUGAUGGUGGACUCCCAUGGCCCACAACUUUAAAAGAGAAACACAAGUCUUCUAUUUCUGUUUGUGGAACCACCUUUUAUGAAUUCCUGUUUCUAAAAACACAUCAUCAACACUUAUUGUUGAGAAUCUUAUUGUACCAAACACUGAGUUAAACUGUUUUGAGAAGCUCCACAGGAGAUAGCAAAGGAGUAUAAGAGAUAGUCCGUGUUCUCAGAAGCUUACGACUAGCUAGGGGAACACAACCAACAUGUAGAGAAUUUUCAGAAGACCAUGUAAAAUGAGGGACUGAGCUGUGUAGUCUAGACAAUAUGUACUACAGGAGGUCAGAGACGGGAGAUCAGUGUAGGCUGCAGUUCUCAAAGGAGGCUUCGUGAGAACUGGGGCAAAGACAACAUUCUUUACCUUGCAUCUGGACUAGUCUUUCUUGGCCUUCACUGUGAUUGGGAAAUCCUGGUAUGAACUUUCACAUAGUUCCAGCCUUUUCAGUUUUGGAGGCUGCAGUGAUGUCCUUCAUAUCACGUCAUCUCAAUGCCACUUCAUCUUUAUUGGCACAUCUGGGAGGGGUAAAACCCCAAUGGUAUGCAAACACCGUCAUGGAUACUUGCUUCAAGCCAUGGGAAGUUUCAUGCAAAACCAGUUUCUCAAUAAGGCAAAUGUUGUGUCAUGGUGUAAGAAGCUUGAGAAACUAGUUAAAGGCAAAGCCUGUCAUAGCAAGAACCAAAUUUGAAUGGGGACACUUUUCUGUCUGUGUCAGCUAUGGUCUGCCUCCAGCCCUUCAACUGCAGAGACCCCAUCCUUAAGCAUUUCUCCAACACUUUGGCCAGAGGCUGCUGGGCCUUGUUCCAUGUAGCUUCUUACUCCCGCACCUCCCUCAUCUGCCCACCUUCAGGUGCCAUUCUACUGAUAAGAGACUCUAGUUCAGAAAAAUCGUUUCAGAAUUCUGGAUCUAUCCUCACCCUUAAACAACAAUGUGUGUUUCCCUUUCUCCAAAGUCCACCCUAACUAUAAUCUGGGGAUGCGAUCCCAAGAGAUAGUCAGAGUUGGUAAAAUAGUCUAGUAGAUUAAACAUUCACUGUGUUUACUGUGUAUUCUGAAACAA